rnacentral:lncRNA from 1 species
AAAUUCCUUCUUAUUCAACUUUGUAUCAAAGCCUUUCUAGGCAAUUUUUUUUUUCUUUUUACAGGCUUCGGCUCUUCUCCUUUAAGCCUUCACACCUUCCACAACCAUCUCAAAUGUCUUAUUCCUCUUAUGAUAUUGUUCAUCCCAUUCAACUUGUUUUAGAUGAUACUAAUUAUCAUUCUUGGAAACAAUAAAUGCAAUGGUUCUUGCAAGGUCACAAACUUUGGGGUUAUGAUUCGGGUAGUAUCAUCAAACCAAUAAAUACUGCUACUGAUUAUGCCAUUUGUAUUGUUGAUUGGGAAGCUGAUAAUGCUAAAAUCAUGAGUUGGCUCACCAAUACAACCCCACUUAAAAUCAAUUAACUAUGGAUGUUUAGGAUUUUUUGGCAACCACUCACACUGUCACUGAUCAAAGUUCACAAUAUCAAAUUGAUCAAGAACUCCUUCAUCUUUGUCAAUUUCUAGGUCAAUUAGUUCAAGAUUAUUAUAGUUCGAUGGCUAUUCUUUGGGAUAAGCAGUCUCAUCCUGAAUAAUGCACUGCUUGCUUGGUUCACUAUAAUGCUGCUCGGGAUAACAAAUGACUUCGUCACUUUCUGAUGGGUUUCCUUGAUGAGUAAGAAGACUGCAUCUUGCAUGAAUCAGACUCCUACUUCAUGAAUUUUGCCAAGGGACAUGAUUAUUACUGAAAUAUGAAAGUGUAUAGUCAUGAUAGGUCCCUUGCAAACAUGAGGAUGCCGCAAGGUAAAUCGCGCAAACUUUAGGGGCAAAUAUAUGCAUUUGGCCUUUUCUGAUCUAAUGUAGCCUAAUCAAUUGCAUAGGUAACUCAUUAGUAAAAGAACUAAUUAAAAUUAUAAUGAAAUUUUUUUAAUGAA